rnacentral:rRNA from 1 species
GAUGAACGCUAGCUACAGGCUUAACACAUGCAAGUCGAGGGGCAGCAUGGUCUUAGCUUGCUAAGGCCGAUGGCGACCGUCGCACGGGUGAGUAACACGUAUCCAACCUGCCGUCUACUCUUGGACAGCCUUCUGAAAGGAAGAUUAAUACAAGAUGGCAUCAUGAGUCCGCAUGUUCACAUGAUUAACGGUAUUCCGGUAGACGAUGGGGAUGCGUUCCAUUAGAUAGUAGGCGGGGUAACGGCCCACCUAGUCUUCGAUGGAUAGGGGUUCUGAGAGGAAGGUCCCCCACAGUGGAACUGAGACACGGUCCAAACUCAUACGGGAGGCAGCAGUGAGGAAUAGUGGUCAAUGGGCGAGAGCCUGAACCAGCCAAGUAGCGUGAAGGAUGACUGCCCUAUGGGUUGUAAACUUCUUUUAUAAAGGAAUAAAGUCGGGUAUGGAUACCCGUUUGCAUGUACUUUAUGAAUAAGGAUCGGCUAACUCCGUG